UACAGAGGUCUCAAGCGUUGUUCGGAUUCAUUGGGCGUAAAGGGCGCGUAGGCGGCGCGCUAAGUCGGGGGUGAAAUUUCGGAGCUUAACUCCGAAACUGCAUUCGAUACUGGCGUGCUUGAGGACUGGAGAGGAGACUGGAAUUUACGGUGUAGCAGUGAAAUGCGUAGAUAUCGUAAGGAAGACCAGUGGCGAAGGCGGGUCUCUGGACAGUUCCUGACACUGAGACACGAAGGCCAGGGGAGCAAACGGG
rnacentral:rRNA from 1 species